rnacentral:rRNA from 1 species
UACGGGGGGGGCAAGCGUUGUUCGGAAUUACUGGGCGUAAAGGGCUCGUAGGCGGCCAACUAAGUCGGAUGUGAAAUCCCCAGGCUCAACCUGGGAACUGCAUCCGAUACUGAAUGGCUUGAAUCCGGGAGAGGGAUGCAGAAUUCCAGGUGUAGCGGUGAAAUGCGUAGAUAUCUGGAGGAAUACCGGUGGCGAAGGCGGCAUCCUGGACCGGCAUUGACGCUGAGUGAGCGAAAGCUAGGGGAGCAAACGGG